AACAAGACCAGGCUGAACACAGGGAAUUUUCACUGUCCUGCCUCUUGCUCUGGUUCUCAGUGUUUGUUCAAGCUGCAGGGAGGAGAGGACUGAAAAGAGUGGCUGGGGAAGAGGAGAAGAGGUGCUUGACUCCAAUUCAAUCCAGAGCCCUUGGAGUUACUGCAGAUGCUCAGUCCUCCUGGAGGACUUGGAAAAUUGGAUGAAAUUGCACGUGCAGUGAAGACGGUGUGGGAUGAAGUUGCAAUGAUGGGGGCAAAAGCAGAAGAAGGACCUCCUGUCUCUCAGCUUCUCCCACCUCAGCCAUCUGCUUGCAUUAAUGCGCUAUUCCCAUGCGGAUUGUCAUUUAAACCAGCCUGCUCCCACAAACAUCCGUGCUUUGGGUCAUCUGAAUAUCAAAAAAGUUUCCUUUACCCAUGGGUUAGAAGGAUCACAGGCAGCAAGGGGACAGGGCCAUUGCUUGCCAUCCACGGGCACCAAUGGAAGGACAAGAUUCCCCGGCUUGAUGAGAAAAAUCUUCCCCCAUCAGCAUCUGAGCAGUUCCUGCUGGUAGAUCAGGACAACGCUCGAAGUCAGAAAUAAAUGGGAUUGAAUAAUUAAGUGCACUCUGGAACACGGGAAUGGCAGAGAGCUCCGCCAGAAAUAGGAAAUCGCAGCUAAUAAAGGCAAGCGACAGUGGAAAAUUCAUUAAGCAUCUCUCAGACAAGAACAUUUUGCCACUCGCAGGAAAAAAAAUUAAACUAGAAAUGAAGGAGAAUUUGUUCUACAGAUGGGCUUUUUUGAUAGGAACUACACAAAAAUCUGAAAAAAAAACGUUUGAUUAAAGAUUGGGAAAAAAUAAAGACGUAAAGAUGAGAUGAACAGUCUGCAACAUUCAUUGCAAUUUCAUGAAGCCCAAAUCCAUUCCUGUGGGUCUUGUCUGUGUAAGACAGGCUGGGAUGGGUGAGUUUUGGGGUGCAGUGAUUUCCUGGCCCUGAAGGCAGCUCACACAUGUGGGCACUUUGCUUGCAUGCUGCAUCUGCCAUGCUGCCCUGCUGGGAACUGGGGGAGGCAGGUUUUUUGCCAUUCUAUGGGCACUGAAAAUCCCAUUUUUAGAGGCAAUGGUAGCAUAACCCAGGCACUACUGAUGCUUGUGACUGUUGGCUGAAGUCAGCAGUGGAGGUAUAGGUGAGAGACGUGUUCUUCCUUCUCCAUGGUGACAAAACCAGGCUCCUCCCAAAGCAGUUCCUGCUCUUCCCAUCCCAUCCCAUACAGCUGGGCUCGUUGCUUGUCUCCUAACACCUUUGUUCUUCUCUCCCUCAUUGCUCCUGGAGGUGCUUUCCCAGUCUCACCCCAUGCAAUCCAGUCAUCAGAACAGCCUGAAACCUCCCAUAGCCAUCCCACGGGGGCACAGCUUGCACCACAUGUCCACGGCUCUGCGGCACUGGAUGGCUGCACAGAGUCAGGGUACCCAUCUGGCAUUGCUGUCUCCUGUGAAACGAAGGAGAGAAAUGAAACCCUUCAAACGCAGAACUGCCUGACACCACCACAACAGAGCUGACAGCCGUCCGUUUGCCUCGGAUCUGCUCGUUUGUGUCCUGAUGUGAAUGCAGCAUAUGGCCCCCAUCCAUCUUCCUAACACUCCAGCUCCAAGCUGUCUGCCUCGCCAGAUCAUAGAAUGAUAGAAUGAUAGAAUGGGCUGGGUUGCAAAGGAGCACAAUGCUCAUCCAGUUCCAACCCCCUGCUAUGUGCAGGGUCAACAACCAGCAGAGCAGGCUGCCCUGAGCCACAUCCUGCCUCCUUGCCUUCAGAUGGUGAGCUGAGACAAGAUAUCAGCACAGGAUGAGCCCCAGCUUGAUCUCUUGCAUUUAACAGCAGAGGUGGUGCAUACACAGAGAUAUUUUUCUAGCAAGAUUUGGAUACAGAGAUGUCACCCACCCAUUGGUUUGCAGUGUGGGGCAGUGAGAGGAGCUCCUCUCAACCCCUUUUUCAUGUGUUAUUUCUCCAUCUGUUUGCACCUCUUUUUUU